UUUUAAAAGCCAAUAGUACAACUGAAAGACCCCCGAAGGGAGACCCUCACUCAAGCCUCGGGACAGCCGCGGACCCAAGAAGACACUGAGACCG
rnacentral:pre_miRNA from 7 species